UGAGAACCCUCCCGGGUUCAUGCCAUUUUCCUGCCUCAGCUUCCUCGGUAGCUGGGACUACAGGCGCCCGCCACCACGCCCAGCUAAUUUUUUUAUAUUCUUAGUAGAGACGGGGUCUCACCAUGUUAGCCAGGAUGGUCUCGAUCUCCUGAUCUCGUGAUUCACCUGCCUUGGCCUCCCAAAGUGCUGGAAUUAGAAGCGUGAGCCAUCGUGCCCGGCCUAAUUUUUGUAUUUUUAGUAGAGGCAGGGUUUCACCAUGUUGACCAAGCUGCUCCCGAACUCCUGACCUCAGGUGAUCCACCUGCUUCAGCCUCCCAGAAUGCAGGGAUUACAGGUGUGAGCCACAGAGCCCGGCCUCUAUUUCCACAAGAGUUUUUCCUGUUAGUUACUGAUUACCCAUUGUGUCUUUUUCUUUGAAUCACCUGGAAGGAACUAUCUUUAAAUAAGUGUCGUCCCGUAAUGCACUUCUGCCGUCCGUGGGUUACCACAUUAAGGAUAGUUGUCAGUGGCCUCCAUGCUUUUGGGCAACGUCAAAGGACACCCUGAAUCUGGCGCAGAUACAGGAACAGAUGCUGCAGCCGGAGCAACAGUCCAAGCUCAAACUUGUGCCCUUGGUCUCUUGCCUCAGCACCUGGUUGGCUUGCCGCCCACACACAGUGGAUCAUGCCUGUAAUCCCAGCACUUUGGGAUGCCAAGGUAGGUGGAGUACCUGAGGUCAGGAGUUUGACACCAGCCUGGCCUAAAUGGUGAAACACUCUCUACUAAAAAUACAAAAAUCAGCCAGGCAUGGUGGUGUGUGUCUGUAAUCCUACCUACUUGGGAGGCUGAGAGGCAGGAGAAUCACUUGAACCCAGGAGGUGGAGGUUGCAGUGAUCUGAGAUCGUGUCACUGUACUGUAGCCUGGGUGACAGAGUGAGACUCCCUCGCAAAAAAAUAAAAUAAAAAGUUGGUUUUUUUUUUUCCUUUGGCAAUUCAAGAUCCCUAGAGGUUCUAUCAACUUUAGUAAUGCUUUUUCUAUUUUUGUAAAAAAUAAUUCGGGUUUUCACAGGGAUUGCAUCCAGUCUCUAUAUUGCCUUGACGUCUCUUAGCAAUGUUGUCUGGUUUUCUUUUUUUUUUUUUUUUUUUCUUGAGAUGGAGUCUGACUCUGUCACCCAGGCUGGAGUGCAGUUGUUGGCCAGGAUGGUCCCAAACUCAUGACGUCAGGUGAUCCGCCUGCCUCUGGCUCCCAAAGUGCUGGGAUUACUGGCGUGGGCCACUGCAGCCGGCCAGUUUUCAUUAUAUAAAUAUUUCACCUUCUUGGUUAAGUGAAUUUCCAAGUAUUUUAUUCUUUCAGAUGCUAUUGUAAAUGGAAAUGGUUUCAUAAUUUUCCUUUCAGAUUGUUCAUUGUUAGUAUGUAGAAUUGCAGCUGUUUCUGCUGUUGAUUUUGUUUCCUGUAACUUUGCUGAUGUCACGGGGUUGUUUUUUCCAAUAUGGAUUCUAAGAUUUUCUUUCUUUUUUUUUUUUUGAUAUGGAGUCUUGCUCUGUCACCCAUGCUGGAGUGCAGCGGCACAAUCUCGGCUCACUGCAAGCUCCGCCUCUUGGGUUCACGCCAUUCUUCUGCCUCAGCCUCCUGAGUAGCUGGGACUACAGGCGCCCACCGCUACGCCCAGCUAAUUUUUUGUAUUUUUAGUAGAGAUGAGGUUUCACCGUAUUAGCCAGGAUGGUCUCGAUCCCCUGACUUCAUGAUCUGCCCACCUCAGCCUCCCAAAGUGCUGGGAUUACAGGUGAGGCACCGCCUGUGCCCAGCAGGAUUCUAGGAUUUUCUACAUAUAAGAUGAUGUCAUCUGAGAACAGGUGAUUUUACCUCUCCCUUUUCAGUUUGGAUGAUUUCUUUUUCUUGUCUAAUGGCCCUGGCCACAACUUCCAGUGGUAUGUGGAAUAGAAGCAGUAAAGCAUUCUUGCCUGGUUCCUUACUCAGAGGAAAAGCUUCCAGUUUUUCACCACUGAGUUGUCACCUGUGGGCUUGUGAUAUAUGGCCUUCAUUGUGUUUGGGGCGUGUGUUUCAAUUUCCGGCUUGUUGAGUGUUUUUCUAAUAAAAGGGUGUUGAAUUUGGUCGAAUGCUUUUCCUGCCUCAGUUGAGAGGGUCAUGUGGUUUCCUUCUUCCACUCUGCUAGUAUUGAUUGAUUUUUGUACGUUGAACAUUUUGUAUGUGGAACAUGAUAUUCGUAUGAACUAUCCUUGCAUUCCAGGAAUAAAUCCUGCUUGGUCAGGGUGUAUAACUUUUUUAUUAUACUGCUGAAUUCACUUUGCUGGCAUUUUGUUGAGGACUUUCUCAGGGAUGCUCAUCAAGGAUAUUGGCCUGUCAUUUUUCUUGUGGUGUGUUCAUCUGGGUUUGAUAUCAGGGUACUGCUGGCUUCCUAGGAUGAGUGAGGAAAUGUUCUUCAAUUUUUCAAAGAGUUUGAGGGGUGGUGCUGAUUCUUCUUAAUGUUUUGUGAAUUCACAUGUGAAGAAAUCAGGUCCAGGUCUUGUCUUUCAACUUUUACAGUUGAAGAUUUUAGGUUCCCAGAAAAAUUGCAAGGGUAGCACAGAGAGCUCCCGGGCCCGGGGCCUUGCCACGUGGUGAACAUCAUGUGUCACUGUUGGCCCCACCCACAACUGGGUCUUGCCCCAGAAUCCCACCCAGGAGGCCACGUGACAUUUAGCUGUCACUUCUGGUGGGCUCCUGCCAGGUCCCGUGCUUCCCGGAGGGCUGGCCCCGUGAGCAUCUGCUCAGCCCCUUUCCUCCGCUGGGCCCUGGGUGAGGUGCAGCCACUCAGGUGGACCCUGAGGGUCCCUGCACCUGUUUGCCCUCUCUUGGGUGGGCUCAAGACCAAAAAUGAUGUUGAGCAGUCCUGGGCCCCUGAUGCACAGUGGUGGUGCGGCUCUGGUCAGUGUCUCCUGCGCUCCCCGGGCCCCUGAUGCACAGUAGUGGUCUGGCUCUGGUCAGUGUCUCCUACGCUGCUGGGCCCCUGAUGCACAGUGGUGGUCCGGCUCUGGUCAGUGUCUCCCCACACAGUGGCUUGGCGAGGGGUGGGCGCUGGCAGAGGGGACAGGCACCACGUGGUCAUCCCCAUGGAAGGUUCCGUCGUGGCGACGGUGUUGUGGGAGGAUGGUGUGCUGCUGCCCCUGCACCCGGUGAGAUGAGUCCUGCCUCUGGGAGGCACAGCCGGGAUGGGGCGAGGGACCCACUCAGCUGUCUGGGAAGGGUCCCCUGCCCUGUGCUUCCUCCAGGUGUCCUGGUGCACUCCUGACCACGGCACCCAGUGGGGGUCCCCACACCCUCACCCUGACCCACGGGUGCCUCACCUUGGGGACUCCCCGCCCUUCGCUGGCACUGAGAUGGAGAGUGACCUGUCCGUGGUAGAAGGGCUGCUGCACCUGAGGUUUCUGAAGCGACACCCAGGGCCACAGCCCCAGCAGCUCCAGCCUCCGUGUGCUUAAUGCUACGCCCUGUGCCCAGGAGGACAGGGAAAUGGAGGCAGAGGUGGCCUUGAUGUCCCAAGGUGUGCAGUAGCUGCCUCUGCGCUGGAGGCCUGUGAGGGUCAGGGUCUGAGGGUCUCAGGUGCACUGUGACCGGGGACACUGCCUGUCCACGGCUGAGACUAGCAGAGGGUCUGCAAUUCCCACCUGCCUCUCGGAAGCUGCCUUGGGUCGGCUGUCAGUGGGGCUCCGCCUUGGGCUUUUUAUUAUUAGAAAAUCAUUGAGCAACAGCAGUGCUGAGGACGCAGGCAGGGCUGUGGGCACUGCAGGGGCCGUCCCCGGUGUCCACACAUGUGCUGGGCUCUGCCGAAGUGCGGGAAGCCUGUGUUUCACCCUCAGGCCAUGCUGGAGCCCCUGGUUUGGCCCCUCCCCACCUCGGGGCCCUGGUGUGCAUUUGGGGUGGGGGGUUCCCAUGGCGGCCUCCGUCAGCUCCCUCU